CGCAGAGCUCGUGGUGCUGGCGGAGGAGAUUUAAGCCCUGCAGGAGUUGUUCUGAAUGAAGAUGGGUCAGAUUGGCAAGCAUGUAGGAUUGAGAUGACUGGUCCAUCUGUGGCAACAAAAGAGGGAGGAAGCACCCAGGCACAGAAUCGUAAACACAUGUGGGAAAAGUGGGAGUCUUUUUCCUUACACCUCAUGUUAUGGUGAAUGAUCUUACACGUGGUGCUUGCCCUGCUUCUGAAAUCAAAUGUCUAGUUAUGGACGAAGCACAUAAAGCUCUUGGUAACCAUGCCUAUUUUCAAGUUGUAAGAGAAUUGACCAACUACACAAACCAGUUUCAUAUUCUUGCUCUGAGUGCCACACUAGAGGAUGGAACUUGGCUGACAAGGAGACAAUACAAAAUAGAAUAGCCCAAAUUAUCAACAGAGAAGUUGGUAAAGAUGUGCAUUUUCCUCUUUAGCUCACCCACACAUAUCACAUGCAAACUACACACACAUCCAUAUAUAAACCCCUAAUGUACAAACUGUUGCUGUUGAACUUGAUUCAAUAAAAUGAAAGUCACUCAGAUGCACAGUUUUACUGCAGUUGAGGCUUGGUGCAUCAGUCCCCAAAAGGUGGAGCCAUUCACCCACAGUGUAUUCUUUGCAAUAACGAGGAGAGCACCACAAGGCAGAAUUCCUGCCAAGUCAGUGAAUUUAUUAAAGAUUUGUACAGGAUGACAUGUUUGGGGGCACAUAGGGGCCCAAAACAUUUUGUGCUAUAAGAGUCUUCAAUAAAUUCACUGACUGAGCAGUAAUUCUACCUUCUCGAUUGCAAAGAUAUCAUGACUAAGGGGCACAUUUACUAAGCUCGAGUGAAGGAUUAGAAUAAAAAGUACUUCGAAUUUUGAAGUUUUCUUUGG